GAGGAAACAGAAUUCACAGCGACAGAAUCUGGAUGACACAAUUCCACUUUUUGACCUGAACUGCAAAACUUAAUUGUAACCUAAGGUCUAAAUUUCAGGAUGAUGUUGAAAUGGCUAUAGCUACCUGGAAGACAGCCAGGAUUUGUUCUUCCCUUUUCUUGUUCUUCAGAAGGAAAUUUAUUUUCAGCACAAAAAUUCAAUUAGGACAGCAAAAGUGAACUUGGCACCACAGGGAACCCAAGCUUUUCCAGGCCAUGACCUCCUUUCAAGAGCUCUUCAAACAAAAGUUGUUUCAAACUUGUAAAAAAACUCACAGUGCUGUUGGUGCCUGAGGCAAAACAUCUGGAUGGAAACCUUCAUGUCAGAAUGGUACCCCAAAACAUGCUGCCUGUGGUGUCCUGCCAAGCUGUCUAAGUCAGCCUUGGUUCAUUGGCCCUGAUCCAGAGAACUGCAACCUCAACCAGGAAGGCUACAUGCCUGCUAAUACUUAUACAGGUGUGGAGAGCUGAUCAGAAACUGCUCAAUCUGACUCAUUGGUGGCAUGACAGCUGCUGGGGAAAGGAAUCCACAAGAUUCAAACAAGGCUCCUCCUUCAUUCCUCCGUUUCCUAAUAGUAGACUGGACCAGUGAGAUAAUUCUGUGUGUACUUUUCCACAGUAGGAAGGGAGAAGGUAGUGCUUGGUUUGAGUUAGGAUACUGUCUUUCCCUUGCUUCCCACCCACAACAGUUGAUUUGGAUUCUGUAUGGUAUCACAUUUUGACUCUAUUGACAUUAGGACCUCUUGCCAGUUGUUUCUUUUGUUUCCCAUUUGUAUAUGAUAAAAAUCUUAAUAAAAUGCCCCAAAGAGAAAGAAUGACAU